rnacentral:rRNA from 1 species
AUACGGAGGAUGCGAGCGUUAUCCGGAUUUAUUGGGUUUAAAGGGUGCGUAGGCGGAUUAUUAAGUCAGUGGUGAAAUACCCGUGCUCAACAUGGGCCGUGCCAUUGAUACUGGUAGUCUAGAGUUCCGUUGCCGUGGGAGGAAUGAGUGGUGUAGCGGUGAAAUGCUUAGAUAUCACUCAGAACACCGAUUGCGAAGGCAUCUGACGAAUCCGUCACUGACGCUGAGGCACGAAAGCGUGGGGAUAGAACAGGAUUAGAUACCCUGGUAUUCCACGCCGUAAACGAUGAUGACUAACCGUCGGCGAUAGACAGCCGGUGGCCAAGCGAAAGCGAUAAGUCAUCCACCUGGGGAGUACGUCGGCAACGAUGAAACUCAAAUGAAUUGACGGGG